CCUACGGGUGGCUGCAGUGGGGAAUAUUGGACAAUGGGCGAAAGCCUGAUCCAGCCAUGCCGCGUGUGUGAAGAAGGCCUUCGGGUUGUAAAGCACUUUCAGUGGGGAAGAAAGCCUUGGGGCUAAUACCCUCGAGGAAGGACAUCACCCACAGAAGAAGCACCGGCUAACUCCGUGCCAGCAGCCGCGGUAAUACGGAGGGUGCGAGCGUUAAUCGGAAUUACUGGGCGUAAAGCGCGCGUAGGCGGUCUGAUAAGCCGGUUGUGAAAGCCCCGGGCUCAACCUGGGAACGGCAUCCGGAACUGUCAGGCUAGAGUGCAGGAGAGGAAGGUAGAAUUCCCGGUGUAGCGGUGAAAUGCGUAGAGAUCGGGAGGAAUACCAGUGGCGAAGGCGGCCUUCUGGACUGACACUGACGCUGAGGUGCGAAAGCGUGGGUAGCAAACAGGAUUAGAUACCCCCAGUAGUC
rnacentral:rRNA from 1 species